rnacentral:rRNA from 1 species
GGUGAACGCUGGCGGCGUGCCUAAUACAUGCAAGUCGAACGGGGAGUUCGCAAGGGCUUCCAGUGGCGAACGGGGUGAGUAACGCGUGGGUGAACCUGCCCCAAAGCGGGGGAUAACAGCUCGAAAGGGCUGCUAAUACCCCAUGAGGUCCCGCUGGUUAGAGGCGGCGGGACGAAAGGCGCAAGCCGCUUUGGGAGGGGCCUGCGUCCCAUCAGCUAGUUGGUCGGGUAACGGCUGACCAAGGCGAUGACGGGUAGGGGACCUGAGAGGGUGAUCCCCACACUGGCACUGAAACACGGGCCAGACACCUACGGGUGGCAGCAGUAGGGAAUAUUGCACAAUGGGCGCAAGCCUGAUGCAGCAACGCCGCGUGCGCGACGAAGGCCUUCGGGUCGUAAAGCGCUUUUCGGGGAGAUGAGCACGGGACAGUAUCCCCGGAAGAAGGGAUCGGGCUAACUACGGUGCCCAGCAGCCCGCGGUAAGAGGUCACGUCG